UAAUACGUAGGGCGCAAGCGUUAUCCGGAAUUAUUGGGCGUAAAGAGCUCGUAGGCGGUUUGUCGCGUCUGCCGUGAAAGUCCGGGGCUCAACUCCGGAUCUGCGGUGGGUACGGGCAGACUAGAGUGAUGUAGGGGAGACUGGAAUUCCUGGUGUAGCGGUGAAAUGCGCAGAUAUCAGGAGGAACACCGAUGGCGAAGGCAGGUCUCUGGGCAUUAACUGACGCUGAGGAGCGAAAGCAUGGGGAGCGAACAGGAUUAGAUACCCUGGUAGUCCAUGCCGUAAACGUUGGGCACUAGGUGUGGGGGACAUUCCACGUUUUCCGCGCCGUAGCUAACGCAUUAAGUGCCCCGCCUGGGGAGUACGGCCGCAAGGCUAAAACUCAAAGGAAUUGACGGGGGCCCGCACAAGCGGCGGAGCAUGCGGAUUAAUUCGAUGCAACGCGAAGAACCUUACCAAGGCUUGACAUGGGCCGGAUCGCCGCAGAAAUGUGGUUUCCCUUUUGGGGCCGGUUCACAGGUGGUGCAUGGUUGUCGUCAGCUCGUGUCGUGAGAUGUUGGGUUAAGUCCCGCAACGAGCGCAACCCUCGUUCUAUGUUGCCAGCGCGUGAUGGCGGGGACUCAUAGGAGACUGCCGGGGUCAACUCGGAGGAAGGUGGGGACGACGUCAAAUCAUCAUGCCCCUUAUGUCUUGGGCUUCACGCAUGCUACAAUGGCCGGUACAAAGGGUUGCGAUACUGUGAGGUGGAGCUAAUCCCAAAAAGCCGGUCUCAGUUCGGAUUGGGGUCUGCAACUCGACCCCAUGAAGUCGGAGUCGCUAGUAAUCGCAGAUCAGCAACGCUGCGGUGAAUACGUUCCCGGGCCUUGUACACACCGCCCGUCAAGUCACGAAAGUUGGUAACACCCGAAGCCGGUGGCCUAACCCCUUGUGGGAGGGAGCUGUCGAAGGUGGGACUGGCGAUUGGGACU
rnacentral:rRNA from 1 species